rnacentral:rRNA from 1 species
UACAGAGGUCUCAAGCGUUGUUCGGAUUCAUUGGGCGUAAAGGGUGUGUAGGUGGCGCGCUAAGUCGGGUGUGAAAUUUCGGAGCUUAACUCCGAAACUGCAUUCGAUACUGGCGUGCUUGAGGACUGGAGAGGAGACUGGAAUUCAUGGUGUAGCAGUGAAAUGCGUAGAUAUCUGGAGGAACACCGGUGGCGAAGGCGGCAUCCUGGACCAACACUGACGCUGAGUGAGCGAAAGCCAGGGGAGCAAACGGG